rnacentral:rRNA from 1 species
UACGAAGGGGGCUAGCGUUGUUCGGAAUUACUGGGCGUAAAGCGCACGUAGGCGGACUACUAAGUCAGGGGUGAAAUCCCGGGGCUCAACCCCGGAACUGCCUUUGAUACUGGGUGUCUGGAGGUCGAGAGAGGUGAGUGGAAUUCCGAGUGUAGAGGUGAAAUUCGUAGAUAUUCGGAGGAACACCAGUGGCGAAGGCGGCUCACUGGCUCGAUACUGACGCUGAGGUGCGAAAGCGUGGGGAGCAAACAGG